AUGGAGGAGAUGAGGAGUAACGGCUGACAGCAAGUGCAGAUGGACAUUUACUUCCUGGACAUCCACCACUUUGCCACCACGAAGGAAGAGAAGAUCGACUGUUCUCAUACCGUGUCACCAUUUUGUCCACAACAUCAUCCACGAUCGCAGAGACAUGGUCCAUGAUCGGAGAGACAUUGUUGAGGAUGAGGGAGACAUCGUCCACAAUCAGAGACAUUGUCCACGAUCGCAGAGACCUUGUCAAAGAUGAGAGAGACGUCGUCCAUGAUCAGAGACAUUGUCCCAUGCUUCGUAGAGACCUUGCGAUAGAAUCGGCGGAGACGGGGGUCACCGAUUUGAAGGCAUUGCCCGCGAUCUUGGAGACAUUGUUGAUGAUCACAGAGACACCGUCUAUGAUCUCAGAGACAUCGUCCACGAUCACAAAGACAUUGUCCAUGAUCACAGAGACUUUGUCCAUAAUCUCAGAGACAUUGUCCGCGAUCGCAGAGACGUAGUCCACGAUCACAGAGAGUCUUCAUACAAUGAAGAAGUUCUUUGAGACCAGGACAGAGGCCUCCAGGUGUCACCACUUUGUCCACAACAUCAUCCACGAUCGCAGAGACAUGGUCCAUGAUCGGAGAGACAUUGUUGAGGAUGAGGGAGACAUCGUCCACGAUCAGAGACAUUGUCCGUGAUCGCAGAGACCUUGUCAAAGAUGAGAGAGACGUCGUCCAUGAUCAGAGACAUUGUCCCAUGCUUCGUAGAGACCUUGCGAUAGAAUCGGCGGAGACGGGGGUCACCGAUUUGAAGGCAUUGCCCGCGAUCAUGGAGACAUUGUUGAUGAUCACAGAGACACCGUCUAUGAUCUCAGAGACAUCGUCCACGAUCACAAAGACAUUGUCCAUGAUCACAGAGACUUUGUCCAUAAUCUCAGAGACAUUGUCUGCGAUCGCAGAGACGUAGUCCACGAUCACAGAGAGUCUUCAUACAAUGAAGAAGUUCUUUGAGACCAGGACAGAGACCUCCAGGUGUCACCACUUCGUUCACAACAUUGUCCACGAUUGCUGAGACGUCGUCCACUAUCACAGACCGUCUUCAUACAAUGAAGUUCUUUGAGACCAGGACAGAAGUCUCCAGGAGGAGACGGCAGCAGCUGAAGACCUGAAGUGGAUGAAAGAAAAGAAAAGUUUUACGAAGCUGUCAAUUAGAUCAAAGACAUCCAGUAGCUAACUGCUGUAAAGUAAAAUUGCUGGUUUCCUGUUGUUCAAGUGAAAACACUUUUCUCCACCAUCUGUAAUGUAGUUAUGGGCACAUUUUCCAAAGACUUAAUAAUUGUAUCACAAGCAGUUAAGUGAUCACAAAGAUGCUUCGUAGACAUGUUGAUCUUUGGAAAACGUACUCAUAACUACAUUAACCCUAACUCUGACCAGGUCUAUCAAGUGUUUUCUUGUGGUCAAAUGUUGUCUGGAAUAACAAUUAUCUAAUAAGUGUCCUUCUAAACUUUUGAGUUGUAUUUCUCUAUUUUGUAAGUGAAGUUAUACAAAUCAUGUUUUAAGGCUUUAUAUUAAUUUCUUACUUUGUCGUAACUAGUGUGUUACUGCCUUACUGGUACAUAAAUUAUGUUUUUUUUUUUUUUAAUUUGCUUCAUACAAACCUGUGUAAACCUAAAUGUUUUGUCCUUAUUUUUGCACCUAUUCCUUGAGGGUUAAAAAAUUAUUUUAAAAUUAUUUCAUUCUUACUUUUUAGAACUAUUUAUUUAAGGUUUAUAUUUAUUAAAUAGGUUUCUAUUCUAUUCUGUAUUUUCUCUUCAAUAUAUUUGUUUUCCAUAUUUUUUAAACUUACUUUUUGUAGCUACAUUGUUGAAAAACAUUAAUUGAUACUAAUUAAAACUGACAAAUUAAUUAAGCAGUUUUAAUUUGUUGCUAUUUGUUCCAGACAAGUUAAAGUGUCAAACUGCAGCUAAGAUAAUGACAGA